AAAAAUAAUUAAAUAUGAGUCUAUUUUCAUACAAAAAUAGUUUGAACUCUAUGUAUCUAUACAUAUAUAACAUAUCAUUUUAAUGUCAUGUUACUCAUUUUGUUAAUUUUGAUUUAAACAAAACAAUCAAAAAAUACCCAAAUAUUAAGUGAAGUCAACAACUCAGAGGAUUCUUCAAAGUGACUAUACCUGUGAAACCACCACCCCAAUCAUGAUAUAAAAUAUUAACAGCUCCCCAGAAGCCUACCUCUUAUCCAUUCACCAUUAUCACCAAAUCAAAAAGAGAGGACCUAUUUAUGUCUAUCCUCAUAGAUUCAUUUUGCAUGUUCUAAAAUUUGAUAUAUGUGAUAUCAUUCCUUCAUGCGAUAUUCUGUCUGUAAAAUUAAUUCUAUUGUUUUGUGUGACAUCAUGCAUCCUUUUUCAUUACUCUGUAGUAGUCUAUCAUGUGAAUAUGACACAAGUUAUCUGUUAACUGGAUUUUAUGAUUAUGCUGUAGUUCUGGACAAUUACAAAUAAAGCUGCAAGGAAAUUUUUUUUGAACUUAGGAGUAGAAUCAUUGUGUCAUGGCAUAUGCACAUAUCCAGCCUCAGUAGAUACUGUCAAAACAUCUUCCAAAACAAUCAUACCAGUUUACAGGCCCUAGAGGGUAUGCCCUAGACAGGUAUAACAUUCCUACUUGUUCCAUAUCUUUGUCAAUACUUGCUGUUGAUCUUCUUUUUUUUUUUAUUUUAGCCAUUCUUUUGGGUGCAUAUAAAAAGGGCUUCAAGCUUUCCAUUUGCUUUUCCCUGCAUAUUUACAAGAAUUUUCCCAUUGAACUGCCGUAGCACUUUAUGGUUAAGGAGUAAGGUUAUGAUAGUCUCAGAAAUAAAUUGGGAAGUGGUCCCACAUUCUCUAUGCUCUGGAGGAAUUUCUGCAAGACUGGCAUUAUUUCACCAAAGAGAGAUGGCAAG